rnacentral:rRNA from 1 species
GACGAACGCUGGCGGCGUGCUUUACACAUGCAAGUCGAACGAAGUGGCGAAAGGGUGAGUAACGCGUAAUCAACCUGCCCUUCAGAGGGGAACAACAGUUGGAAACGACUGCUAAUACCGCAUACUGAAGUAGGGGGUUGCGUUGGAUUAGCUAGUGGGGGGGGUAACGGCCCACCAAGGCGAUGAUCAGUAGGCGGUCUUGGAGGAUGAACGGACAAAUUGGGACUGAGACACGGCCCAGAAUCCUACGGGAGGCAGCAGUGGGGAAUCUUCCGCAAUGGACGAAAGUCUGACGGAGAAACGCCGCGUGAGUGAUGACGGCCUUCGGGUUGUAAAGCUCUGUUAAUCGGGACGCGGUACCGGAAUAGAAAGCCACGGCUAACUACGUGCCAGCAGCCGCGGUAAUUC